GGUUGAUCCAUGAAGGAAUGCCAUAAAGUUAGAGUUAGUGUGAUUCAUCCACACUAAAUAUUAUUCAGUUGAAUUAUAAAAUGUAAGCUAAGUCCACAAUUAUCACAUGUUGUAGUAGACUAAAACAAACCUAUCCCUAGUUGUUUGUGGCUCAUGCUUCAUAUUGUAAAUAUUUAAAACACAAUUGAGCUUAAUCAGGUAGGCUGUGAUUAUUGCUAAAUUAAUG